ensembl:lincRNA
GGGAGUUUAUCCUUGUUAGAUAGGCUGCCGAGCAUUUCCAUUUGAAUCACCUCUCAGUGUAGCUUGUGCCCUAAUCUUGUCCUACAAGUUGGUAAGGAGUUUAAGUACUUCCUACUUUGUUUGUGUCCUUGUAAGGCCACCUUAGUUUUCUUGAGACCAUAAAUUUUCUAAUUCAGAAGUAAGUAAAUUUCUGGGACCCUGCAUGUUGGCUCUGCGUGGAAACAAUUGCUGGUUGUCCUCUAAACAGGGAGCAUUGGCCAGAGUUGUCUGUUUUCCACAGUACUUACUACUCCAUUAAAAAUGCCACAAAAAGGCAAAAUAUUGCAGAAAGUUUGAAAAGGAGGUAGAGUACAAUUCACCUACAUCAAGUCCACCUUCUAAGCUUCUAGUAUUCCUGUGUUAAGAGGUUGUUAUUGGUGUACAGUUCAAAUGAGGAAAAGUUAAUGCUUACCAUGAGACCUUAUUGUUUGAUGGCUGCAGAAGAGUUUUAGUCUUAGCAAGUGGUUUCCUAUUAUUCGUUAUCAAGUUCUGUGCCCUUUGACAUGAGACAGAUUGUUGAUUUCUUUGGUCAAAUUUUUGUUUUUGCCUUUAGGGGAAGGAAGUGGGCAGGUGAAAAGGUCAUGCAAAGGUGCCUCAGCUUCCCUCAUGUUACAACUACAGCCGUAUAUCACUGUGUCCAGCAUUCUAAAGGUUUUUAAAAUUACUAUUAUUUUCUAAUUUGGUAUUUGUAAUUGAGGGCUGGGGGAGUAGCCUGUAUUUCUUGGAGAUUGAGACAAAAAAUUUUGCCUUGUUUAAGGUGCCUGUGUAGCUCAGUACUUGGUUGAAAAUGCUUUGCCUGGAAUUUGCACUGGACAUAUUUGGAGAAGAAAGCCUCCCUGCAUUGUGCAUUUAAAAAAGUUUUUGUAAGUAUGCUUAGAAAAUGGCAGCAUUUAUUGGUUUUGGCUGUCAAUGUCUGCUGCUCCUGACUGUGUUUAACCAGAAAGGGAAACUCAGAGUAGAAAAAGUUUCACUCCCAAGAUUUUACAAGAGAACCCGUCUUUGUUGAGUUAUAUAUAUAUAUUUUAAAGGAGCUUGACAUCUUCAUCAAGUUCACAGUGGGCUUGCUUUGUUUGCUUUCUCUUGAAUGCUUGAUAAGAUUUUUCUUCUAUUGUUUUGUGCAGUAAGAACAGAUCUUUCCCUGGCUGGGGUGGGUUUUUUGUAAAUCCACAAUAUGGUCAUUGUCUGGUGGUGAAUAAUUGUGGCUGCUUUUUGUACAACCAGAACUAAGGCUUUGGCUGUGAACAGAUUCCUUCUUAGUGUGAAAAGGGACUAAUCCAUGUAAAUACAGCCCCCAAAUAAAGCUUUACAGAGAAAGGGGAAGGCCGCUAAGCAGGAGGGCACAGGUCAGCAAUUUAACCUUUAACCUAACAAAUAAGAAGCAUGAAAGUUCCAGAAUUGGUUUACAAAAGAAAGCUCCUGUGAUCUGUCAGUUUUUCUUUUCAGGAGGGGGCUGGGGGAGAGGUCUGACUGACAGCUAGUGCCUUUUAACUGCAGCCUGAAAUUAACUGCCAAAUUGAAACUUGAAUAUUUGAG